rnacentral:misc_RNA from 1 species
AGACGUCCCUUUAACUUUACCGGACCCAAUAAUUUGAUCUACAUUGAGUGAAAAAGUGGAAAUUGAUCGACAGGGAGUUGAGGCUUGGUACGGAACUUAAAUAAUCAUUUAAAAGCCCGUCUGGUCGUGCACCAGAGACUACUAACGGCUGCUGUCAUUACUUGUCAAAUUUACUAAUUUGAAUUUUGAUAAAAUAAAAAAUAUUAAAAAAAAAAAAACAGAAUAAAACUGAGUACAAUGAGCUUAUUUACUGAGAUCGCGUAUAUUAAUAAAAUAUAAAAGAAAUCGGAAUAGAACAAAAUUUAAUGUGAUAUUAUUGUGCCAAAUUAAUUAAAAAAUGAGUGAGUUUAUAGUCAUACAAGUGGGACAAUGUGGCAAUCAAAUAGGAAGUGCUAUGUGGCCCCAAAUUUUACAAGAAUACAAUGUGCCAAUUACCCCAACUACAAUACAGGAAACGCCAACUAUCAAAAAUCAGUCAGAUUACAGGUUUUCCUCAUUUUUCAAUGUAUCUAAGGCAAAGCAAGAUAUACAAUUUAAUUGCCUACAAGAUUUAAUCGACAAUAAAGUGAAGGCUCGGGCUAUAUGUAUAGAUAUGGAGGACAGUGUUGUCGCUAGGUUUAAAACUGGCAAACUUAAGGGCCUGUUUGAUGAUAAGUGUUUGGUUACCAAUUAUCCUGGUUCUGGAAAUAAUUGGGCAGAAGUGUUCAAAUCCUUAGGAUUUUGUGAACAUGGCCCUCAAUACCAAGAAGUAAUCUUAAAUUGUUUAAGACAUUCUGUGGAGAGAUGCGAUAGUUUACAUGGAUUUCUAACCAUGUUUUCUACUGGUGGAGGCACUGGGUCUGGCUUAGGAACAUUUGUUUUAAAUAUGUUAGCUGAUUUUUAUCCAAAAAUUGAGAGAUUUUCCACACCAGUAUACUCAACUGGGACAGAAGAUGUGAUAACUAGCCCAUACAAUAAUUUGCUGGCCACCCAAAAGUUGCUUGAACAUGCCACUUGCGUUUUUCCAGUAGAAAAUCGUUGUCUUUUAAACAUUGUGAACACAAAAUACAGGAAAACCUUUAUGGGUAAAGGAGGCCCACAUUUAACAAUGUUUAGCGCUACUGACGAUAUGAACCGUAUAGUUGUAGAUAUGCUUUUACACCUUACAAGUGGGUCCAGAUUUCCAGGCAGAUUGAAUUUUGAUAUGAACGAAAUAAACACCAACAUGGUUCCGUUUCCAGAAAUGAAGUUUAUUUCUAGCGGUUUUAAUCAUAUUACAACCAGUGGUGGAAUUACUGCAAAGUCUACAAGUUCCCGCCAAAAGGAAGAAAUGUUUUUAGCCGCAUGCCACCGAAGUAAUCAGCUGAUACAGGUAGAUCCUUUAGGGCCUAAAUCGGUCUUGUUAUCCUCGACGCUGAUAGGUCGUGGUGACUACAUUAUAACAGAUCUGCAAUCGCACAUCGAAAAGAUACAAGCCAAAGCGAAAUUUACGCCGUGGUCCAAAAAAUCGAUGAAACUGGCUUUGUGCAAUGUGGCGCCAAAUGGGCAAAAAGCCGCCUUAUUUUCACUGUUUAAUACUACGGCACUGAGCGGGUUGUUUGUACAUUUAAAGGGGCAUUUUGAUAGUUUAUUUAGAAAAAAGAUUCAUCCAUGCCAAAUUCAAGGAGAGGCCUUUAAGUAGAUACUAAACCUUCGGUUAACCUCCCAGGCUUAAUACAAGGCAAGUUAGAAUGAUCGUCGUAACUAGUGACUCCACGAGAGGCGAUCAUGAUUAUAAAGAAAUGACCACUUCUGAUUAAAUAAAGCAGCAGCCGACAACAGAAUAUGCUGAUGGAAUGAAAGUUGAAAACUGCACCCAGGUCUUUAGUAAUACUAUAGAUGGAUCCUAGAUGGACAAUAUGGGUGGCAAAAUAGGGUAGCAUUUCGUUUUUUUGGUAGAAAAUUUAAAAAAAUUAAUACUUCAAAAUAUGCUUUCUAUUUCUAUACAUUGGAGAUCAAAAUAAAUAAACCAGCUGAAGCUCAAUAUGCAGCAAGACAACGGCAAUUUUACCAGUUUAAAUGCAUGAGCAAUUUUGGAUUCUAUACAAAUUUUGGCGAAAUGGCAUUUGGUAACUUAUGUAUAUUUUACUUUAACCAUAUUUACUUAUUGUCUCUUUUAUUUCUAAUUUGUUGAAAGUUAUAUAAUUUAUAAUAUUUAA